rnacentral:piRNA from 1 species
UGGACAACAUGGAUGGAGAUGCACU